rnacentral:lncRNA from 1 species
CAUCACUUCAUUUUUUUGCGCCUGCGCAUAAAUCUGAGAAACGUGAGUUUGUCAUCAUUUUUUAUCUAGACAUAGGAUAGGUUGUGUGAAAAUAUUACUGAUGUUUAACGUUAAAAAUGGACCAAAAGAUUAAUGCUAAACAACAUUUGACAUGUUUGAACGAACAUAAAUAGAUUAUUUACUAGGUUUUUUUAGCUUUUCGGCGUGAUUUUACCAGCCCCCCAACCACGUUUUGUGGGAGCAUAAUGAACGCUAAGUACUUGGUGUUAUUUGGACAUAAAUUAUGAACUUUGUCAAAAGAAACCACAUUUGUUCCGGACCUGGAAUGCCUUCCGGACCUGGGAUCCUGCCUUCUGAUGGAGAUAAUCAAAGAGGUGAUGACUACUCCACUCCACAACCAUUGUCAACUUUCUCCUGACAUGACCUGGAGCUACCCGCUCAUCCCCUGGCACAUUGAUUGUUUCCCUCCAAGCACUUCAAAUCCUGUCCUGCACUGGUCAAGCCUAUGAACACCUCAACUCAUACUUCAAACCCUCAUUCAAUCACUGCUGUGAUCCUUUUCCAACACGGUAUCCCUCAGAUCAGCAGUUUGUGCUCCAAGUAAGAGCAAGUUUUUAGGAGAACAGCUCGUCAGCCCAGGAAAUGGUUCAGAUUAAAGGGAGGUAAUGACACAUUUUCUAGGCCUGUUUGUGUGAGCGGCGCAUGCAAUUUAAGGGGCUGCCAUACAAGGUCAGUUAAUAUUUCAUUGCGAGGCACUCAGGGAAUGGGGAACAGAGAGACAAAAUGCAUAUGUCUCAUUUCGCAAUCUGAUUCGUCUCUACAAAUCAGCCCGAGUCAAUGUCAUUCCAUUAUGAACUCUGCUGCAGAAUUCUGCUGCUGCGACACUGCCUGCCUGGAUGUGACUGCUUUUACUGGAGCUGAAUGUGGAAUCUCUCGAUCUCCCACUCUCUCUGUCAGGUUGCCGCAUCCUCCUCCUCCAUCUCCAUCUCCUUCUCCACUUUUACCACCUCCACACCUGUUCCUUCUCCCCUUGUUACAC